CCCAGUGGCAACAUUAGCCGUGAGAAUGGCCUGAGUCACAUCUCACCACAUCCGCGACCGCCCGACCGCGACGCUGAAGGGGAACGCCUCGCCGCCACCGGCGACAGCUGGCGCGAGAGGCUCCGUCGACGGACCUGCUACUCGCUUCCUUCAUCGCCACCUCGGAUGGCAGGCCCCGUUGAAGCACACACACUGGCUGCCUCAGCACCACCUCCGACGCCAAACCCUAACCUGGACUGGCGGGUUCGACACCCACCCAGGCACCAUCGCCUACCCUAAGGUCUUUCAUCUGGAUGCAGGGAGGAGGGAGCUCUGCAGCAAAGGAAGUCUGUAGUCACCAUGGUCCAUUUCAAGAACAGGAAGCAUCAGGCGGCUUGCAAGAAAGCUGCACUGGAGUGCGAUUGCGACGAAGCGAAAUUUUGAACAGUACAGGUUGGCCGCGCGGUGGUAGUGUCACGGUGGGUGUCGUCCGGUCCGUAGAGAUCGAGCUGCUUUGAGAAGAUUAGAGAGGACUAGAGAGCUAGCUAGCCGAAGAAGGAAGAACUCGUAUCUCCCCCUUGGUGUUUUUUUCUGUUUCGUUGUAUCCGCGUGAUGCUGUUAAUUCUGGGCUAUCUAAGGAUUUUUUUUUUGCCCCAGUUA